rnacentral:rRNA from 1 species
ACGAACGCUGGCGGCGUGCCUAACACAUGCAAGUCGAGCGCGAAAGUCCCUUCGGGGGCGAGUAGAGCGGCGGACGGGUGAGUAAUACAUGGAUAAUCUGCCCUCGAGAUCGGGAUAACCCUGCGAAAGUGGGGCUAAUACCGAAUAAGACCACACAACACAAGUUGUGUGGUAAAAGGUGGCUUGAAUUUAUUCUGGCUAUCACUUGAGGAUGAGUCCAUGGCCUAUCAGCUUGUUGGUGGGGUAAUGGCCUACCAAGGCUAUGACAGGUAGCUGGUCUGAGAGGACGACCAGCCACACUGGGACUGAGACACGGCCCAGACUCCUACGGGAGGCAGCAGUGGGGAAUAUUGGGCAAUGGGCGAAAGCCUGACCCAGCGACGCCGCGUGGGUGAUGAAGGCCUUCGGGUUGUAAAGCCCUUUCGUGCGGAAAGAACAGUCCUGUGGCGAAUACUCGCAGGAUUUGACGGUACCGCAGGAAGAAGCACCGGCUAACUCCGUG